GACGAACGCUGGCGGCGUGCCUAACACAUGCAAGUCUACGAGAAAAGGGUAGCAAUAUCCUGAGUAAAGUGGCGCACGGGUGAGUAACACGUAGGCAAUCUGCCUUUAGGACGGGAACAACCCCGGGAAACCGGGGCUAAUACCCGAUAAUGCAGCGGCACCGCAUGGUGACAGUUGUUAAAUGCCCGCAAGGGCGCCUAGAGAUGAGCCUGCGUCCCAUUAGGUAGUUGGUGAGGAACGGCCCACCAAGCCUACGAUGGGUAGCUGAUCUGAGAGGAUGAUCAGCCACACUGGAACUGAGACGCGGUCCAGACUCC
rnacentral:rRNA from 1 species